UUGGUUGUCGUCACGAUGAAGCUUGUACAGUUGCCGCACCAUUUCUGCAUGGCCAGCCAAAGCUGCCAUAUAAAUAGGUAAGAAACCUUUCCCACCUCGGACCUUUGGCAAAUCAGUUUUCUUCUCCCUCAUAAUUUGAGCAAUUUUCACAUUUCCAGAUAUAGCAGCAUAGCAAAAGGCUGUAUUUCCCUGAUCCUCUGAUUCUGAGGCUACUGCUCCGGCUCCACCUAGAGUUGAUGCUUGAGAUGCAAUUGCUGUUGAAGUUGUUGCUGAGGUUGCGGCUUGGAUUGGGACCCUUACUUGUUGCGCUACUGUUACUACAGUUGUGGCUUGGGCAUUUUCUUGUUGAGCUGCAUUUGUGUUUGUGGUUGCAGAUUCAGCUUGAGCUUCGCUUGUGGAUGGGUCCUCUUCAAUGGUGGAUAAAGUUGGGGCUGCUGGUAUGGCUUCACUCGGAGAUGAAGCUUGAGGGGCAAUUGCCUUGGAAGUUGUUGCUGUGUUGGCAGCUUGGACUGGGGACCCUACUUGUCGCUCUAUUGUUACUAAGGUUGUGGCUUGGGCAUUUUCUUGUUGAGCUGCAUUUGUGUUUGUGGUUGCAGAUUCAGCUUGAGCUUCGCUUGUGGAUGGGUCCUCUUCAAUGGUGGAUAAAGUUGGGGCUGCUGGUAUGGCUUCACUUGGAGAUGAAGCUUGAGGGGCAAUUGCCUUGGAAGUUGUUGCUGUGUUGGCAGCUUGGACUGGGGACCCUACUUGUCGCUCUAUUCUUACUAAG
rnacentral:lncRNA from 1 species